UCUACGUCGGCGACCGGCGCACGGGUGCGUAACGCGUAUGCAACCUACCCAUUACAGGGGGAUAACACUGAGAAGUCGGUACUAAUACCCCAUAACAUCCAGGGAGGCAUCUUCUUGGGUUGAAAACUCCGGUGGUAAUGGAUGGGCAUGCGUUGUAUUAGUUAGUUGGUGGGGUAACGGCUCACCAAGACAACGAUACAUAGGGGGACUGAGAGGUUAACCCCCCACAUUGGUACUGAGACACGGACCAAACUCCUACGGAAGGCAGCAG
rnacentral:rRNA from 1 species